rnacentral:tRNA from 1 species
AGGGAUGUAGCUUAAUGGAAGAGUGCUUGCCUAGCAUGCAUGAGGCCCUGGGUUCCAUCUCCAGUAUCACCA